rnacentral:rRNA from 1 species
UACGUAGGUGACAAGCGUUGUCCGGAUUUACUGGGCGUAAAGAGCGCGCAGGCGGUCGAUCAAGUCGAGUGUGAAAGCCCCCGGCUCAACUGGGAGGGUCACGCGAUACUGAUCGACUCGAAGGCAGGAGAGGGUAGUGGAAUUCCCGGUGUAGUGGUGAAAUACGUAGAGAUUGGGAAGAACACCAGCGGCGAAGGCGGACUA